AAAGUCAUCUCUAAAUCCUUUCACAAGUAUGCAAUGUUCUAUUUUUGGUUUAUUUCCUCUUGUAUUAGAUAAGUUCUAGGCAAAGUUUUAACUCAUCUUCUUUUCUUUUCUGAUCAAAUCACGCAAAUCCUUACAAAGCCCAGCCUAAGGAAACCUAGCAAACCCUAACCUUGUCCAAAUAAAUAUCAAGGGAAUUGAGAGUCUUUGGGAUCAAUUUUUAGCCUCAAUUCUAAGGCUCGAGUUCUAGGUCACAAUACAAUAAAAAACUUCUUUUAUCCACAAAUAGCCAGCCCUUUCGUCUCUCUUUCAGUUUUGGGAUUUCUUUCUUCGAAUAAGUUUGAGAUAGUGAAGUUUCAAAUGUGGAUUUGCAAUCUAAAACUCCCCUAGUUGGCUUCUUUGAAAUAGGUUCGUAACUCUAAUAUUUCACCGAACUGUUCUCAUUAUUUUCUUUAUAUUUGAUAACUGUGUUGCUUGCUUAUCUCUUCUAUUUUUGUUAAAAUUGUUUGUGUUGUUUACUUGGUUGAUUAAAAAAAACUAACUAAAGAAUCUCAUAUAUUUUUACUACAUUUUAUUUAAAAGUUCUCUAGAUUUUCAUUUGUUUUAGAAAUAUGUCGUAAACGUUGUUCCAUUUUUUAUCAUGAGGAAUAUACCUCAUAUUCUAAAUCAUAUUUCUUUCAUGAAUUUUCCUCCAUCUCACUUUUAGAUCAUAUACAUAUAACAUUAUUAUUUCUUUGAUUUUUCUAGCUCUUUAAAUUUAUUUAUGGUGUAGUUGUUACCUUAACAUAAGUCUUGCAUCUUAUAUCUUUUCUCUAUCUAUUAAUCUUCCAUGAUGUAUGAAUAAAAUUCAUGAUUCUGUAGAUUUAAUGAAAAAUAAUUUUUUCAGGACUUGUUUUGGUAAUUAAGUCAAUAAUUAUGUAGUGGAUAUAUGUUUGCUAGGAUUUGUUACUAUAUGAAAAUAUGUUCAGAUCACAUUGUGUUGAUUUUUCCUUUAAUAUGAUGAAGAGGCUAUAUCUAAUGAUUUUUGUUUCCUUUCAACUAAAUUUAGCUGAAGUCUUGCGCUAAUAUUCCGUCGAAUUAUAGCCUAGGCCAAUUUGAUUCAAAAUUAUUACUUUCCUAAGUUAAAAGUGAAAGGAGGAAUAUCUACUUGCUGUAUAGUAAUAUUUUAUUUAAGAAUAGUUUUUUGUGUAGAAUAUGAUCUUCGUCUGCAUAUGAAUAAAUGCAAAGUACAAGAUAUUUAUUUGGUUUGAUGUAUUGUUUUCAUGUUAAGUGUAUUGUGUUCGCUGUAUACCUUUAUUUCUAAUUACGAAGUUAUAUGUCUUCUCUAUUUUUUUUUCUUUCCUUUUUUCACAUAUAAACUCGUGAGCAUGUUUGGAGUCUCAUGGCUUGACUCAAUCUCUAUUCAAAUCAGAGAAGCGAAGUUAUAUAUUUCUGUGUCGCAGUCUAAUACAUCUUUCCCUCUUCUAAACUUUAUUUUUCUCUGUAUACACAUGUUAUCUCUUCACCAAGAUGUAUCCCAUUCUCUUUUGAAAUUUAUGUGUUGUUUGUUUGUAUUUGAAUUUGUGUAUGCUUUUUAGAUAGACAACACUUUAAUUGUGUCCCUCUUACCCUUUUAAAUAUUAAAUUUGGCAUAAUUACUUGACUUAGGUGUACGACUUAUAUAGCUAAAGGGUAGAACAUAUUUUUAAGAAGACAUGCCGUAACAUAUUUUUACCUUAUAUACAUAUGUUAUUUUCACAUAUACCAUGCACGUCGUCAUAUGUUUUUCCUUUUACAAGUAAUGUCCAUCUCCAAACAAUUAUAGUUUGUUUAAUUUUGGUGUCUUUCGCAUUUUUGUUUGAAAUGAAAAAAAAAUGAAUAGAAGUACUACCAAAUUAAUUUUUGAUGCUAAACAUGGCUUAUUUAUGAUAUAUCUCCAAAUCAAAUCGAAACACAUUUUUUAUAUUUUUCCCAAAUCUUCCUUAUUCUAUAUUAUGUCAAGUCCGUACUUUUACAUACACUUGUAUCUACUCGCUAAAAUUUUUAAACAUAAAAUUAUUUUUCUUACAUGACCUUGUUUUAUAAAUUACUCUUUAAUUGAUCACUAAUUUUUGAGUUUGAAUAAAAUCUGUAAAGUUUAUUUCCUUUGAUUGUUGAAUUGACUAUUCUUAAUUUUAGUGGAAAAUCUUUUAAGGUCCCAAUUCUUUUUCUUAUACAAUAAUUAAUGUAUACCUUUAAUAAGAUAUAUGUUUUUCGUACCUCACUUAAUCAUUCUUAAUUGAUCUUGAUUUGCUUAUCUAACCUAAGUUGACCAGUUAAUCAUAGUUUUUGGAUCCUUUACGAUGCUUAGUCCCUCUCCUUUGAUAAAAUUUAGAAUCUUACCUAGAAUCAUCUAAGUUGUGUAGACCUUGAAUAAAGUUUUUAUUUAUUUUAAUCACUUAAUUUAUAAUAGGUGUCCAAAUUCACCGUAGAACUAAUUUGGUAGCGAUUUUUUUAAUUAAUUUAGAAGUUUUCAAUAUGUUGUAUCUUAAAUUGACUCGCAUUAAAAUGAGUCUAUCUAACCCAAUUCUUAAGAACCUCAACCCUUUGUGGGUCCAACAUAACCCCUUUAGAAACCAUGUGCCCCAAGAAAGAUACCGAAGAAAGCCAGAAUUCACACUUAUAGUACUUAGCAUACAAUUGUUUCUCCUUCAACAACUUCAACAUAGUGCGCAAAUGAGUUUCAUGCUCUUCUUUACCCUUAGAAUAAACAAGCAUAUCAUCAAUAAACACAGUAACAAUUGAAUCCAAAAAGGCCUACACUCCAUUCAUCAAGCUCAUGAAACCAACUGGGGCAUUGGUCAAGCCAAAAGACAUAACCUGAUAGUCGUAGUGCCUAUAUCAAGUUUAGAAAGCACUCUUUGAGAUGUCCUGAUUUUUAGCUGAUGAUAACCUCACCACAAAUCAAUCUUAGAGAAUACUACAACCUCUUGUAACUAGGAAAAAAGAUCAUCUACUCUAGGGAAGGGAUAUUUGAUAUGAAUAGUCACCUUAUUUAACUAGUGGCAAUCUUCAAACAUUCUUAUACUACCAUCUUUCUUUUUCACAACAACACUGGUGCACCCCAAGAAGAGACACUUUGGUGAAUAAAGCCUUUUUCUUAAGAUUCUAGCAAUUUGGAUUUGAACUCUCAACUUUGCAUGGAAAUGGGUCAAGUGCCCGACUCUAGGUCUAUACAAAAGUCAAGUUCCCGAUAUGGAGGCAUGCUUGAAAUAUCAUAUGAAAAUACUUCUAGGAAUUCAUAUACCACUGAAAUUGAUGUUAUAGGUGGGAGUACUAAUUUAUCUUACCGAAAUAGGGCUAAAAAUCCCCCGCACCCCUUCCUUACUAAUUUUUGGGCACAAAUUGUAGGCAUAACCCUCACAGGAUUAGGCUUAAAAGUACCUUACAACUCUAAUUUCUCCCUUCUAGUCGCUAUAAUGAUGGUUUUGCAAUAAAUAAAAAAAUAACACAAUAAGGGGAUAACCAAAUCAUUCCCAAAAUAAUAUCAAAUUCCUCUAUGUAUAGAAUGACCAAUCGUCCAUGGUUUUAAUAUGCACUUGACCGAACACACAAUAAACAUGAUCAACACACAAUACCCUAACCAAUGUAGGAACAUACAUAGGAAUAUCAAGAUAUUCUUAGUCAAAGUCCCAACCUAUAUCAAAUUUCAUAGACUCGUAAGAGAAGGUGGAACUGACAUCAAAUAAUAUAGAAGCCAUAUGAUCAUAGACAAGAAUAGUACCUGUGAUUAUCAUCUCAGAAAAUUCCACCUCUAGGUGAGCCAAAACUAUAUAAACAUAUGCCUUAUCACCAUCCUAACCGCCACCUCUACUACUUCAAUCUCUAUUUCUUCUAGCUUGUCCUUUACCUCAAUUUUCCUCAUUGAUUACCUUAGCUUGGCCAUCACGCCAACAUUGUAGAUGGCCCCUACCGUUUCUCUCACAACUACGACCUUUCAUAACUAGAGCAGUAGAAGAUGGUUGUCAAGACGACUGACCUGCAUAUAAAAAGUUAGAACAAUACCUUCUGAUGUGUCCUAAACGCCCCACACUCAAAGCAUUUUUGACCUAAAGUAGGCCUUUAAACAUAAAAGGAAAAAGGCGUGUAGCUUCUUUCUUGGAAAGGCUGAUGUUUGACCCCAGAUAGUCCCCCUUUUGAUACUGCAAAGCUAUAUAGUAGGACUUAGAGGAAUGGUGUUGAGUGUAUUUAUGUACCUUAGUGUUGCUAUCGUAGCUUAUUUAGCCUUGUUCUGAGGGUAAUUCUUGUGAUUUAUGAGUUAGUGAUAAUAUAAAUAAGCAUAUAAGGGUUUAAGUUUGUGUUACAAGGUGAAAAGGUGUUUUCAAAUAAGUUUGUACUUAAUUGGAUUAUUUAGAGUCUAGAUGAAAAAACUAGUUUUACAAGCUUGAGCUAGGUGUUGUUCUAGUCUAUCACAAUGGAUUCUAAUGUGUCGAUUGAGUUUCUAAGGUUAUUAUCUUGUAAUUAUGUGUGAAACAACUUUUUUGUAAUGUUAAAUGUUCAAUUGGAUCAAUUGAAGGGUUAGAACAAUAAAUUGAAGAUAAAUGUGGAAAAGCCUAAUCUUAGCUAGUGUUCUUAGUUCAUUGUUGAGAAUGUUGUAUUGUACUGAGCUCUAAUAUUUGGUGUUUUAUUAUGUAUCAUGCUUGAUGAGUUGAUUUUGGUGAUAUACUUAUGUUAUAGAAGCUUUAAAUUGAGUGGAAACAACACCACAAGGCAAGGGAUGGAAGGAGAAACUCUUAGACGAAAUUAGGCGUUAAGAGGCACAUUUCAUUGAGCUUACGCGAAUUGGCCAUGUUGCGGAGCUCUUACAAAGUGAUUUUCAAUGCCCCAAGCCCCUUAUUCUAUAAUAUAUCCACCACGAUGCACCACAUUUCCCAUGCGAUAUCCAAUGUACUGCAGACCUCUCCUCAUACACGGCUUAAGUCCUCAACUAUAAAUAGAACACUUUGUAACUUAUUCUAAGGACUUUUGGACGUAUUUGGACUGGAGAAGAGGUUGCUACAAAUAUUUUUUAGGGUUUUUAUUCUUUUGGUUUAUCUUCUUAAUAGAUUGGAUUAUGUAUUGAAGUAUUCAGAUCAUGAUUAUGUCAAUUAGUGGCUAAAUGCCCAUUUUCUGGAGUUAAAUCCAAGAACAUGACUUCUAUUAUUUUGGAUUGAUUUUGUUUGGUUUUCUUAUCAUAUUAGGUUAUUUAUUUAUCCUUGUUUGAAUUAUUUUAAGGAGUAGCAAACCUUAUAAUACAUAUAUUGUGAA
rnacentral:lncRNA from 1 species